rnacentral:tRNA from 1 species
UGUUCCCAUAGUUAAAUGGAUAUAACAAGCGCCUCCUAAGCACUAGUUGAGGGUUCGAUUCCCCCUGGGAACGU